rnacentral:sRNA from 1 species
UUAUCCAUGGAACAGAUAUAAUAUGGGUAGCAGCAGUUCAAGUUUCCUCACACUGCCACAUCAGUACGUCUCAACCCUGACCUUGGAGGGACCAUCUCUAGGGUUGA